rnacentral:rRNA from 1 species
GGAGUAAGGAUUAUUAUUUUAUGAUUUAGAAUUAGUAAAUUUACAAGGAAGAAUUUUAUUUUAUUAGCUUGUGCGAAUAAAGAAACAGGAAUAAUGAUAGAGGAAUAGUAUUGUGAGAGAACUUCUUAGGCUAUAGGAAAGAAAAAUUUAUUUUUUGUACCUUGGGUAUCAGGGUUUAUUAAUUAAUAUUUAUAGUUAAAGAUUUCUCGAAUUUAAAAGAGCUAUAAUUGAAUUUUUUUUAUUGUUAAAAAAAUAUUGGUAAUUCAGUUAUUGAAGUGAAAUGUUAUUCGGUUUUAAGUAUAUCUAGUUUUUUAAGAAAAAAGUUUAAUUUAGGUCUUGUUUUCUAUUGUUCUUCGUAGUUAGUGCUAUAGUAGUAAGGUCUUAUGUCUAGAGGGAUGAGCUUUUAGGCAGAGGUAUACAAUAUUUUUAGGAAAAAAUAUUAGGUAGGAUUGAAAGUUUUCAUCAGUAGUGUGUUAUUACAGAGUAUUUUCAGUUGGAAUUUAAGGUUUUAUUUAUGUGUGUAUUAAAAUGUGGAUUUAAGCGAGGUAAAUUCAGGAAAAAUGAUAAAAUUAGUAUAAUUGGAAGUAUAAGUAAAAAAGAAAGAGGAAAGGUCUUUUAAAGGAAUUAGGCAAAAUUAUCUCCCACCUGUUUAUUAAAAACAUGGCUUAUUGAUGUUGAUUUUAGGUCUGGCCUGCCCAAUGAAGAGUUAAAUGGCCGCGGUAUCUUGACCGUGCAAAGGUAGCAUAAUCAUUAGUUUUUUAAUUGAAAGCUUGUAUGAAGGGCUUGCUGAGGAGAUGACUGUCUCUAGAAGAAUUGAUUUGAAUUUUAUUUUUGAGUAAAAAAGCUUAAAUUUUAGUGGAAGACGAGAAGACCCUAUAGAGUUUUAUAUAUGAAUGUAUGGAAAGGACUUUGGGAUCAAAGUUUGUCUGUGCACUUAAGUAUUUUGUUGGGGUGAUGAGAAAAUUAAUUUAACUUUUCUUUAUUUAUAUACUAGUGUGUAAAUUUAUGAUCCUUAUGUAAAGAUUAAAAGGACAAAUUACCUUAGGGAUAACAGCGUUAUUUUUUUUAGAGUUCUUAUCGAAGAAAAAGAUUGCGACCUCGAUGUUGGAUUAAAAUUUAUUACUGGUGUAGGAGCUGGUACAUUAGGUCUGUUCGACCUUUAAAAUUUUACAUGAUCUGAGUUUAAACCGGUGUGAGCCAGGUUGGUUUCUAUCUCUAUUAAAGGGAAGUAUCUUAGUACGAAAGGACCGGAUAUUUAAUUGAAAAUUUAUAGUAGUUGAGUAGUAGUAA